CCCUUAGAUGUCCUGGGCCGCACGCGCGCUACACUGAGUGUCUGAUAUACGAGUCUGCCUGGUCCGGCAAGGUCUAGGUAAUCGCUAAAAGACACAUCAUGCUUGGGAUAGAUUAUUGCAAAUAUUAAUCUUGAACGAGGAAUUCCUAGUAAGCGCAAGUCAACAGCUUGCGUUGAUUACGUCCCUGCCCUUUGUACACACCGCCCGUCGCUACUACUGAUUGGAUGUUUAAGCGAGGUUCUCGAACUGCUAGCGACUUAGCUUCGGUGAGGUCGCAGUGUGGGAAGUGAACCUAGCUUUGGUGUCUAGAGGAAGUAAAAGUCGUAACA
rnacentral:rRNA from 1 species